AGCUUUCCCGUCCAGAUACUGCUGCACAGGGCACAAGUGCAGCCGCUGGUUGUGGUCCGUUUAGUUUGUAACUCCCUGACUCAACUGUCCAAGUUGCCAACGCCAGGAGUCAGGCGAUCCUUUCAGUGUGUCAUAAGAGGAUGUGAGCAGCAUGGAGUGUGUCGCUGUACAGCUGGACCGGCUGGUUUAGACAAACAGCUGACACCACUUGCAUCACUGACACUCAUUUCUGUGGACUCACUGCACAAAAAGAACACAAAAAAGUUUGCAUCUGACAAUAUUUAAAGAUCAAAAACCACCAUCUGUGCCAUAAAUCCUGCACUUACGUUGUCUCCGGCGGGCUCAUCCUCGGUCGCCGCCUGGAUGGCGUAGGCGAGGAAGCAGAGGAUGGCACCGAUCCACAGCAGAAUGGAGAACCCGCCGAACAGCUGACGGCAGAACUUCACCCAUUCUGGGGUGGUGGGGGGCGGAGUCAAGGCGUUGAGGCCGUCUCUGGCCAGGUACUCUGCUGCCCGAGCGUUGGUCAGACCCUGAAGUGGACAGACAGACAGACAGCAGUUUAACAAGUCGAAAA